rnacentral:misc_RNA from 1 species
AAUUGCUCUUUAUUAAUCUGUAAUGGCAUUUGUUUUAACAUUUAUCUAUUUCUACAGUAAAUUGACAUUAUGGCGCAUAUAUAAUAUUUCUUUUAAAUAUCUAUUGUUCACAACGUCUAUGGAAUUUUGCUUAACAUUUAUCUAUUGUUUACAGCUUAAAUUGAUUUUAUCGUGCAUCUACGGUAUUUCAAUAAUUAUCUAUUGUCUAAAUCGUUAUUGAUAUCUCCCAUCUAUGAUUAUUUCAUAUUUAUCUGUCGUUAACUACAUUUGACAUUUGUCGUCGUUUUAUAAUUCAGCUGCUUUACUUGUUUUUUGAUGCGUGUUGUUAUCCAACGAAUAAGAGAAUUAAUGUUCAGUUUGGUCAUACUGAAAGAACCAAUGUCUACAUGGGCGUUGUCUUUCGUGGAAAUUCAUUUUGAUGCUACUGAAAAAAUAAGUUGUCUCCCUCCUAUGGUGUUUUAUCUGUUAACUUUCCAUCUUGAAGGUUAUUAUAGUUAACUGAUUAAGAUUUUAUUUUACAAGAACAUUAGAAGAACUCAAGAUACCAUUAACUUAUGGAGCACGUAUUAGUCCUCAUUUGCUAUAGAAAGUAGCUGUACGUGUGGUCCUAAGGAAAGCAUGAAAGUGCCUUUUUUUCAUUGGGAGAGGAGACAGUGUGCUAAAGAAAGGAUUUAUGACAAUGAACUGAUCAUCCAAUAACUGAAGGAAUUAAUUCUGGUCGUACUAAAACAAGCAAUGCUCUUAAUGUCUACCUUACAGCAUGAAGUACUUAAUUUUGGCGUUGAGAAUGGGAGGCAAUUGUACAUUAAUUCGGAAGCUACUGGAACAGCAAAUUAUCUUCAGUGCUUUGUAGAUUUGGUUUGCCCAUCGUGCUGGUAGACUUUAGAAUGCUACUUUCAACAACUAAUUCAGGUUUUCCAACAGAUGAGAGAAUUAAUGUUCAGUUUGAUCAUACUGAAACAGCCAAUGUCUACAUGGCCGUUAUCUUUCGUGGAAUAUAUUCUUUGCUGUUUUGUCCUCAUCUUGCAACUUUAUGCAGUCAAUUUUCAACCGACGAGUGAGAGCAACUGGAGAUUUAUUCGAAUUCCACUGAAACAACAAAUUUUCUGCUAUGGUAUUUCUCCUGAAGUUGGU